UACAGAGGGUGCAACCGUUGUUCGGAAUUACUGGGCGUAAAGCGCGUGUAGGCGGCCCUGCAAGUCGGGCGUGAAAUCCCACGGCUCAACCGUGGAAGUGCACUCGAAACUGCAGGGCUAGAGUCCUGGAGAGGAAGGUGGAAUGCUUGGUGUAGAGGUGAAAUUCGUAGAUAUCAAGCGGAACACCGGUGGCGAAGGCGGCCUUCUGGACAGUGACUGACGCUGAGACGCGAAAGCGUGGGGAGCAAACAGG
rnacentral:rRNA from 1 species